AGCGAACGCUGGCGGCAGGCCUAACACAUGCAAGUCGAACGGACCCUUCGGGGUUAGUGGCGGACGGGUGAGUAACACGCUGGAACGUGCCGUUAGGUUCGGGAUAGCUCCUGGAAACGGGUGGUAAUGCCGAAUGUGCCCUUCGGGGGAAAGAUUUAUCGCCUUUAGAGCGGCCCGCGUCUGAUUAGCUAGUUGGUGAGGUAACGGCUCACCAAGGCGACGAUCAGUAGCUGGUCUGAGAGGAUGACCAGCCACACUGGGACUGAGACACGGCCCAGACUCCUACGGGAGGCAGCAGUGGGGAAUCUUGCGCAAUGGGCGAAAGCCUGACGCAGCCAUGCCGCGUGAAUGAUGAAGGUCUUAGGAUUGUAAAAUUCUUUCACCGGGGACGAUAAUGACGGUACCCGGAGAAGAAGCCCCGGCUAACUUCGUG
rnacentral:rRNA from 1 species